UGGGGAAUAUUGGACAAUGGGCGCAAGCCUGAUCCAGCCAUGCCGCGUGGGUGAAGAAGGCCUUAGGGUUGUAAAGCCCUUUCAGCGGGGAAGAUAAUGACGGUACCCGCAGAAGAAGCCCCGGCUAACUCCGUGCCAGCAGCCGCGGUAAUACGGAGGGGGCUAGCGUUGUUCGGAAUUACUGGGCGUAAAGCGCGCGUAGGCGGUCUGUUAAGUCAGGGGUGAAAGCCCGGAGCUCAACUCCGGAAUUGCCUUUGAUACUGGCAGGCUAGAGUCCGGGAGAGGUGAGUGGAAUUCCUAGUGUAGAGGUGAAAUUCGUAGAUAUUAGGAAGAACACCAGUGGCGAAGGCGGCUCACUGGCCCGGUACUGACGCUGAGGCGCGAAAGCGUGGGGAGCAAACAGG
rnacentral:rRNA from 1 species